rnacentral:rRNA from 1 species
GACGAACGCUGGCGGCGUGCCUAAUACAUGCAAGUAGAACGCUGAAGAGAGGAGCUUGCUCUUCUUGGCUGAGUUGCGAACGUGUGAGUAACGCGUAGGUAACCUGCCUUGUAGCGGGGGAUAACUAUUGGAAACGAUAGCUAAUACCGCAUAACAAUGGAUGACACAUGUCCUUUAUUUGAAAGGGGCAAUUGCUCCACUACAAGAUGGACCUGCGUUGUAUUAGCUAGUAGGUGAGGUAAUGGCUCACCUAGGCGACGAUACAUAGCCGACCUGAGAGGGUGAUCGGCCACACUGGGACUGAGACACGGCCCAGACUCCUACGGGAGGCAGCAGUAGGGAAUCUUCGGCAAUAGGGGCAACCCUGACCGAGCAACGCCGCGUGAGUGAAGAAGGUUUUCGGAUCGUAAAGCUCUGUUGUAAGUCAAGAACGGGUGUGAGAGUGGAAAGUUCACACUGUGACGGUAGCUUACCAGAAAGGGACGGCUAACUACGUG